GUGUUUUCAUAAGUUUGAAAAUACUUUUAGGUUAAGAUCAUAUUGAAAGGUUUAAACAAUUUUUGAAUUUUUAUAGUUGUAGUACAGAAGUAUCAGUAUGGGGAAUAUGAUCAAACUAAUUUUCUUGGUGUAUAUUUUAACCAUCUAUAACUGCGAAGCGGCUUGCUUUUACAAGAGAGUUUCAUGUAAGUAGAAUUGUAUAUAAUAUACUGAAAAAUCGCAAAUUUUUUGCGAUGUUUUUAAUAUUUCUAAAAUUUUGACGGGACUGGUUUAUCGUUAUCUAUAAUUGCAAAUUUUAUUAAUAAAAGAGCUAAGUCGGGUAGAAAUUGCAAAUAUACAUGUACAUGUACAAUACAGUUGAUUUUCUAACAUUUAAAUACGAAAUAGAUUAUGAACUUUGGUCUUUUGUGUAGGUUUUUUCAUAUCAGCUCAAUUUUCAAAUAGUUACAGACUUUGUAAAGAAAAUAUGGUACAAUGUAUCAGCUGUAAUUACAUUCAUUUGCAUAAGGUCAAUUUCUAUACGACGUAGCCCAUAUACUUAUACAACAACAGAUAUGUACACAUGUAUAAGGGUCUGGAUUUGGGAUCUUUCAUUUUUAUAUUCUUUAAAAUUCUCGCUCGUUAUUCCCUACUUUUAUAAGAAAUGGCCAUUAUACAAUAGACCACUUUCGAGUCCAUCCGUCACCGAAAAAAAAACUCGUCAAUUAUACGCGCCUUUAUGACGUCAUUUACCAGAUAGAGGGGGUCGCCUGUACAUCUGCACUAUUUACGUUCAUCAAGCGUCUUAGUGAUCGUCAUUGUGCAGAAAUAAUGGUUGUUCUGUAGGUACUUAAUGACAAUUCCCCAAUGACAGCAAUGUUGAUUGUCAAUUUUGAGAAUUCAAUUUGCCGAAUGAUUCGUACAAUAUACAAUUAUAGUUUUCCAACCACUCGCUCAACAUUGUAAUGGAAGUGACGACGCCUCUAAACGCACAAAUGACGUUCACUAAAACAAGAGUUUUUGACGGAAAUGCAUCGAACUCGAAAGUUGUCUAUUACUUGAUAACUGUAUUCUGGACAUUGUUCUUUUCUGUAAUCGGUAUAUUUUGAUCUAAUCCCUUCAUCUAUAGUUGUCUGAUAUCAACCUAUAGUAGGGCAUAUACUGUAAACCUACUUAUUUUCGUAAGCGAUUAACUUUCGCCACUUUCGCGAGUAGAAAAUAACGCGAAUACGAAUUGUGCCGAUUAUGUUAAAAAAUUUAAUCUUUCCUUUUAUUACUACAUGAACCAAUUCGACAAUCGCGAACUUAAAUCGCCUCGAAAAGGCUGGUAAGGACUAAACGCUAAAUAAAGUAGAUGUAUUUCCGAAAAUAAAAUGGUUUACAGUAUCCUUUUUAAAAGUCACGAGCAAUAAUUACCCCAAGUGUGAUGCAUGGUAUGAUGGUUUGAAUUGGAUCUACAUGGUAGAGAAUAAUGGGCUACAAAAAAAAAUACAAAAAAAAACAGAGAAAAUCAGCAUGAGAAAUAAAGAGUAUAGCAUAAUUGGGUGCUAAAAUAUUAAAAAUACAAGUAACUAGUAUGUCAGUUUAAAAAAAAAAAAAGAAUCAGGCUUGAUCACAUUUAUAAUGCUGCAUUGAAAUGUCUUAGAAUAAAAGUUGCGGUUAUACCACGGGAGAUAAUAAGAACUUUUUUUGAUUUGCAAGUUGCAGUUGUCUCCCAUUAUAUACACACAUGUAAAUCGCUUUCUCCUUUCAAAUAUUUGUGUUUAAUUUUGUGUGUAACUGUUCAUUUUCUAUACGAUUGUUUUGUUAUUGACAUUGUAUAAGAAGGAAAAGUACAUGUAAAAUGUAUGAAAAACUUAUAAAACAAUCAAAGGCAUCCAACACGUCAGAAAGAAAGAAAGAAGGACGGACAGGAAUACUUAUCGAAAGAUAUUAGAUCAAAAGGAGAAUUUUGUAUAUUUAAAUAAGACAUAUACCCACUGCAAUUGAUUCCACCUGUCCUAAGUCAAGAAUCUGAUGUUUACCCGUAGUAAUUGUCGUUUGUUGAUGUGAUUUAUAAGUGUUUCUCGUUUCUUGUUUUUUUUUAUAUCAAUUAGACCGUUGGUUUUCAAAUUUGAAUGGUGUUACACUAUUAUUUUUUGGGGCCCUUAAUAGCUUUUUUGUUGGGUGUGAGCCAAUGCCCAGUGUUAAAGACCGUACUUUGACCUAUAAAUUAAAUUUUAUAAAUUGUGACUUGGAUGGAGAGUUGUCUCAUUGGCGCUCAUACCACGUCUUUUUAUAUCUACAUAACGGCUAACUACAAUUCAACAACACAAUUGAAAAAUUCAAUCAAUUGCACACAAAAAUUGACGUUCAACAAAAGGUAAAAUAAAAACAAAAGGAGACAAAGCAAAGCAAAACAAAACAAAACAAAACAAAACAAAUAAUCCCUUACCCCAAACCUCCACAAAAAACAAAAGAAAAUCACAUUAAUAAGAAAAACAAAACAAACAAAAAUACACAAAUAAAACUAGAACAACAAGUACAAUUAAUGUAUGUUUGGCUUACGUGCUAGCAUGUCAAUUAUAUAUCAUAGCGCAUGGAAUGAAAUGAUAAGGCUAUUAUUACAAUGUCUAACAUUUUUUUUAAGUGGAACAACGACCUUUUUUUUUAAGACCUUAUGACGUUUUAUUAACUCAUUGAUACAAAGCUCACCUAGAGUAUCUGUAAAUAUUGAUUUAGAGGUUCACUUAAUUCUAUAUAUUUUGUAGCUGGUCAAGGGUUAGGAUGUUCUAUUGGAAAUCAGUCAAUUGCACGUGGAGCCUCCGAACGUGUCGGAUGUGACAAUUGUAGAUGUAUACUCCCCAGGCUUUUACAGUGCUGUUCGUAAGUGUAUGUUUAGUAUAGAUCAGAGGCGAUAAAAAAUAAUAGUUUCAACAGAGGCAGAUUUGGGGGAGGUGCGAGGGGUCCCAAAAUGCUUUUACAUAAGACUAUGAAUAAAACUGAUCUAUAUGCGGAUACUUUGAUUCGCAAGCUCGUCUUCCUGAUCUCCCUAUUGAAAAGACUCAUUGAACUAUUAGGAAGAGACUGUAACUUCUCAUUUAUUAUAAAAGAUCUAGUUUAAAGUCUUGGAUGAGUGUUCCUUUAUGUCUUUUGAACAGUAUAAUGACGUUUUUUUUAAGUAUUUUUUGUUGUUAUUUUAUGUGUUGUAUUUUUUUUUUGUUUUUUUUUGUAGAGGUGUGGGGUUAUGAUACAUUUUUUACUUUUUUUUCUCGGGAGUAUUUGUUCUUUGUUCUGCAUGCUACAAUUAGAAACAAUGUUAUUCUCUUACUGCGGUACUCUUCCAAUCCAGCCUUUUUAUCCCCUUUUUCGACUUAUUUAAAAAAAAAAACUUUUGUAUUACAGAAUGAUCCAAGAGCCUGUAAUUCAGUAGUUGUCGUUUAUUGCCGUAUAUCAUAUGUGUUUCCGUUCACUAUUUUGUACAUCAAUCAGGUCUUGAAUUGUUUAACUAUGACAUUUGUCAUUUUUUGGGAGCCUUUGAUAACUGACUAAGUGGUAUGGGUCUUACUCAUUGUUGAAGGCCAUACGAUGACAUACAGUUGUUAUAAUUUCUGUGUCAUUUUGGUUUCUUCUGGAGAGUUGUCUCAUUGACAAUCAUACCACAUCUUCUUUUUUAUAUCAGGAUAAUAAAUUCAUCCAAGUGUAAAUAAGUAAUUGUGUAAAGAUGUAUAUAAAAAGCUAUAAGGUUAAAGUUAUUAUUUUGUAUUACAGAACAGGUAUGAGAAUAACAAGCCAUCCAGAUGAUUGUAAAGUAAUAGUACAGGGAUGUACAGAAGUUGCUGUCAAGAUCAACGACGAGUCAGUACACUGUGUAGAGGGUAUAUCUGGAAUCGGACGAUGAUGAAAUUCGUGUCAUUUUACGUACGCAUUCGCCCAUGCACAUAUGUAUUAAAACUUUUGAAUUCUAAAUUUUCUAUAGACUAUGAGAUAAGAAAACGACCAUGUGAUAAAUGCGUACAGUAGAUGUUAAGCCAAAGGCCAGCAUGAAAAGGUGAAAUUAUGUUCAAUAAUGCUGUAUGUUUUUGGCCAAAUAAAAAAAAUUGCAAAAUGC
rnacentral:lncRNA from 1 species